CGCUGCCUGUCGUUCUUCUGGUGACUCUGGAUAAUUGUUACAGAUCGCAGUCGGCCUUGCGUCGGCGACGGGUCCUUCAAAUGUCUGCCCUAUCAACUUUCGAUGGUAGGUGACCUGCCUACCAUGGUGAUAACGGGUAACGGGGAAUCAGGGUUCGAUUCCGGAGAGGGAGCCUGAGAAACGGCUACCACUUCCAAGGGAGGCAGCAGGCGCGCAAAUUACCCACUCCCAGUACGGGGAGGUGGUGACGAAAAAUACCGAUGCGGGACUCUUAUUGAGGCUCCGUAAUCGGAAUGAGUGAACUCUAAAUCCUU
rnacentral:rRNA from 1 species